rnacentral:rRNA from 1 species
GUGAGGAAUAUUGCGCAAUGGAGGCAACUCUGACGCAGCCAUGCCGCGUGCAGGAAGAAGGCGCUACGCGUUGUAAACUGCUUUUAACCGGGAAGAAACCCCAGGACGUGUCCUGGGUUGACGGUACCGGAGGAAUAAGCACCGGCUAACUUCGUGCCAGCAGCCGCGGUAAUACGAAGGGUGCAAGCGUUAUCCGGAUUCAUUGGGUUUAAAGGGUGCGUAGGCGGAGCGUUAAGUCAGUGGUGAAAUCCUGCAGCUUAACUGUAGACUUGCCAUUGAUACUGGCGCUCUUGAGUGCGCUUGAAGUGGGCGGAAUGUGCCGUGUAGCGGUGAAAUGCUUAGAGAUCUGGAGGAAUACCGAUGGCGAAGGCAGCCAUCUGGCCUAAUACUGACACUGAGGUGCGAAAGCAUGGGGAGCAAACAGGAUUAGAUACCCGUGUAGUCC